AUUGAACGCUGGCGGCAGGCCUAACACAUGCAAGUCGAGCGGAUGAAGGGAGCUUGCUCCUGGAUUCAGCGGCGGACGGGUGAGUAAUGCCUAGGAAUCUGCCUGGUAGUGGGGGAUAACGUCCGGAAACGGGCGCUAAUACCGCAUACGUCCUGAGGGAGAAAGUGGGGGAUCUUCGGACCUCACGCUAUCAGAUGAGCCUAGGUCGGAUUAGCUAGUUGGUGGGGUAAAGGUCUACCAAGGCGACGAUCCGUAACUCGUCUGAGUGGAUGAUCAGUCACCUUGGAACUGGGCCACGGUCCCGGCUCCUACGGGAGGGAGCAGUGGGGAAUGUUGGACAGUGGGCGAAAGCCUGGUACAGCCAUGCCGCGUGUGUUGAAAAAAUCCUCGGAUUGUAAAGCACUUUAAGUUGGGAGGAAGGGCAGUAAGUUAAUACCUUGCUGUUUUGACGUUACCGGCAGAAUAAGCACCGGCUAACUUCGUG
rnacentral:rRNA from 1 species